UACAGAGGGGGCAAGCGUUGUUCGGAAUUACUGGGCGUAAAGGGCACGUAGGCGGCCUUCUAAGUCGAACGUGAAAUCCCUGGGCUCAACCCAGGAACUGCGUCCGAUACUGGAAGGCUUGAAUCCGGGAGAGGGAUGCGGAAUUCCAGGUGUAGCGGUGAAAUGCGUAGAUAUCUGGAGGAACACCGGUGGCGAAGGCGGCAUCCUGGACCGGCAUUGACGCUGAGGCGCGAAAGCCAGGGGAGCAAACGGG
rnacentral:rRNA from 1 species